rnacentral:rRNA from 1 species
GGAAAAUGGCGGCGGCUUACACAUGCAAGUCGAGCGGGGAAGGUUGCUUCGGUAACUGACCUAGCGGCGGACGGGUGAGUAAUGCUUAGGAAUCUGCCUAUUAGUGGGGGACAACAUUCCGAAAGGGAUGCUAAUACCGCAUACGCCCUACGGGGGAAAGCAGGGGAUCUUCGGACCUUGCGCUAAUAGAUGAGCCUAAGUCGGAUUAGCUAGUUGGUGGGGUAAAGGCCUACCAAGGCGACGAUCUGUAGCGGGUCUGAGAGGAUGAUCCGCACACUGGGACUGAGACACGGCCCAGACUCCUACGGGAGGCAGCAGUGGGGAAUAUUGGACAAUGGGGGGAACCCUGAUCCAGCCAUGCCGCGUGUGUGAAGAAGGCCUUUUGGUUGUAAAGCACUUUAAGCGAGGAGGAGGCGCUCUAGGCUAAUACCCUAGAUGCGUGGACGUUACUCGCAGAAUAAGCACCGGCUAACUCUGUGCCAGCAGCCGCGGUAAUACAGAGGGUGCGAGCGUUAAUCGGAUUUACUGGGCGUAAAGCACGCGUAGGUGGCUAAUUAAGUCAAAUGUGAAAUCCCCGAGCUUAACUUGGGAAUUGCAUUCGAUACUGGUUAGCUAGAGUAUGGGAGAGGAUGGUAGAAUUCCAGGUGUAGCGGUGAAAUGCGUAGAGAUCUGGAGGAAUACCGAUGGCGAAGGCAGCCAUCUGGCCUAAUACUGACACUGAGGUGCGAAAGCAUGGGGAGCAAACAGGUUUAGAUACCCUGGUAGUCCAUGCCGUAAACGAUGUCUACUAAGCCGUUGGGGGCCUUUGGAGGGUUUAGUUGGCUCUAGCUAAACGCUGAU